rnacentral:rRNA from 1 species
UACGGAAGGCAGCAGUGGGGAAUAUUGCACAAUGGGCGAAAGCCUGAUGCAGCUAUGCCGCGUGUAUGAAGAAGGCCUUAGGGUUGUAAAGUACUUUCAUCGGGGAGGAAAAACAAAACUAAUAAUUUUAUUUCUUGACGUUACCCGAAAAAGAAGCACCGGCUAACUCCGUGCCAGCAGCCGCGGUGAUACGGAGGGUGCUAGCGUUAAUCAGAAUUACUGGGCGUAAAGAGCACGUAGGUGGUUUUUUUAAGUCAGAUGUGAAAUCCCUGGGCUUAACCUGGAACUGCAUUUUGAAACUGAAAUACUAGAGUAUCGUAGAGGGAGGUAGAAUUCUAGGUGUAGCGGUGAAAUGCGUAGAUAUCUGGAGGAAUACCUGUGGCGAAAGCGGCCUCCUAAACGAAUACUGACACUGAGGUGCGAAAGCGUGAGGAGCAAACAGGGAUUAGAUACC